GUAGUUUUGAGUUAUUUUCCCCUUGGGGCGUUUAUGGUGUGCUUGGUGUGUUUUGGUUUUUGUCUGUCCCUCUGUGUUCUGCUUCCUCCCUCAUGCUCUGCGGCUGCUGGUGGGCGUGGUUGCCUGAGCUCCUGUUGACGCACCUGAGACUCAUCCAUUUAAUCAGCACACCAGUGCCUCAGCCUACAAUCAACCCACCUUAAAAGACCAGCCCAACCUUCCAGUCCCUGCUGGAUUGUUGUACCACACACAUACCUGCCCAUGCCUGACUCGGAUUCCCUCCUGCGCCACGAAAACCCCUGAGCUCUGGAACCAGGACCACAUGCCCCUUGGAACAACCACCCAUCCCCAAGCCACACCUGUCUCUCUCUUGUGUUCAAUAAAUCCUUACACUGCUCAAA